rnacentral:tRNA from 1 species
GCUCCGGUGGGUUAGGGGUAAAGCGCGACACCAGUGAUGUCGAGAUCCGCGGUUCAAAUCCGCGUCGGAGAU